UACGUAGGGUGCAAGCGUUGUCCGGAAUUAUUGGGCGGAAAGAGCUCGUAGGCGGUUUGUUGCGUCGGCUGUGAAAUCCCGAGGCUCAACCUCGGGUCUGCAGUCGAUACGAGCAAACUAGAGUGUUGCAGGGGAGACUGGGAUUCCUGGUGUAGCGGUGAAAUGCGCAGAUAUCAGGAGGAACACCGGUGGCGAAGGCGGGUCUCUGGGCAACAACUGACGCUGAGGAGCGAAAGCGUGGGGAGCGAACAGG
rnacentral:rRNA from 1 species